UUCUGAUAGACGCCAUCUUGUCGUGUGCGGACAUUUUGCUUGUUCUCUCUGACAUUUUGGUGUUUGACGGCUAGUUGCGCUGUGACAGUCGAUAGAAAGUUUACACAAGUGUUGCUUUGAGGUACAGUUCACACCAGUGUUGCUUUGCUGUUUUUUCCUGUCGUUUACAAGCUUCAGUCGAGUCAAGAGUCCGGAGUCUUCGCUGACCGAGGUUCUACUACUCUGAUCACCCGAGACAUCCCUGACGAGAAGAAGCUGACGGAAUGGCGGAGGAACAGCCCAGAACUUUCCUGGUGAGAGCGGAGGAGACUGAGUCCAACCCUUGGUCCUCGUCCUGGGAGAUGGAAACAGAACAGAGUAGAGGUUUUCUGGGUUCGGGUGAGGUACGGUGUGACGUCAUGUCACGUGGGCGUUACGCUAGCCGUGAAGGCCGACCUUGGUAACCUUAACAUGUUGCUGGCUGAUGGGGCUCUGGUGAAGCUGUGGCAGGCAGAAAGACCUGACAGUGGAUGGAUAGAACACUUUACUUUCAUCAUAAUGUAUGUGUGUCUGGAGAAAGGUUCCGUAAGACGCAUUUGCUCGAACUAUGUAUAAACAGAACAUCAAUAUAUUAAAACUAAAGAUU